CUCAAUGAAAUUCUAAAUAGCCGCAAUUCAAUUGUGCUAAGGUAGCAUAAUCAUUUGUCUUUUAAUUAAAGACUAGAAUGAAAGAUUUAAUAUUUUCACUUCUUUAUAAAAUGUUCUUUUCAAACUUAUUUUAAAUAUAAUAAAAUAUUUAUUUAUUUAAAAGACGACAAGACCCUAUUGAACUUAACUUAAGUUCAACUGGGGUAGUUAAUUAAAUAUAAUUUUAAUUUAAAUUUAGAAAAAAUCUAUCAUAGUAAAAUUAUAUUAAGUUACCAUAGGGAUAACAGCGUAAUAAUUUUCUUAAGAUCUUAUUUCAAAAAUUGUUUGCGACCUCGAUGUUGAAUUAAUAUUCUACUAAAUGCAAUAAUUUAGCAAGAAA
rnacentral:rRNA from 1 species